AUGCCCGGAGACCUCAGUCAAUGGAUAAUGAAGCACUAUGAUCCGAAGAAGUCACAGAUUGUUGUACCAGAAAGGGGGAAGAUCCCAGUAGAUGCAGCUAGUGUCCAUACGAUAUGGGGGCUGCCUAACAAGGGGAGGAAGGUGUGCUAUGAGAUUCGGCCUGAAAUCACAAAGGAGUUCUACAGGAUCUACAAUAUCCAAGGCAAGAAUGCGCCAACUCUCACUGCAUGGUGUAAAAUGAUCGAAGGAAUGAAUGGAGCCCAUGAUGAUGACUUCCCACGUGCUUGGUUAGCCGUUGCAUUUUCUUCUUCCUUGCACCAUCAACCAGUCUUAGCAUUUCACCAAAGAGCUUCCCGGCUCUGA
rnacentral:rRNA from 1 species